rnacentral:rRNA from 1 species
ACACAUGCAAGCCGAGCGGUAUGAUUCUUUCGGGAAUCAGAGAGCGGCGUACGGGUGCGGAACACGUGUGCAACCUGCCUUUAUCUGGGGGAUAGCCUUUCGAAAGGAAGAUUAAUACCCCAUAAUAUAUUGAGUGGCAUCACUUAAUAUUGAAAACUCCGGUGGAUAGAGAUGGGCACGCGCAAGAUUAGAUAGUUGGUGGGGUAACGGCCUACCAAGUCAGUGAUCUUUAGGGGGCCUGAGAGGGUGAUCCCCCACACUGGUACUGAGACACGGACCAGACUCCUACGGGAGGCAGCAGUGAGGAAUAUUGGACAAUGGGUGCAAGCCUGAUCCAGCCAUCCCGCGUGAAGGACGACGGCCCUAUGGGUUGUAAACUUCUUUUGUACAGGGAUAAACCUAGAUACGUGUAUCUAGCUGAAGGUACUGUACGAAUAAGCACCGGCUAACUCCGUGCCAGCAGCCGCGGUAAUACGGAGGGUGCAAGCGUUAUCCGGAUUUAUUGGGUUUAAAGGGUCCGUAGGCGGAUCAGUAAGUCAGUGGUGAAAUCUCAUAGCUUAACUAUGAAACUGCCAUUGAUACUGCUGGUCUUGAGUAAGGUAGAAGUAGCUGGAAUAAGUAGUGUAGCGGUGAAAUGCAUAGAUAUUACUUAGAACACCAAUUGCGAAGGCAGGUUACUAUGUCUUAACUGACGCUGAUGGACGAAAGCGUGGGGAGCGAACAGGAUUAGAUACCCUGGUAGUCCACGCUGUAAACGAUGCUAACUCGUUUUUGGGUUUUCGGAUUCAGAGACUAAGCGAAAGUGAUAAGUUAGCCACCUGGGGAGUACGAACGCAAGUUUGAAACUCAAAGGAAUUGACGGGGGCCCGCACAAGCGGUGGAUUAUGUGGUUUAAUUCGAUGAUACGCGAGGAACCUUACCAAGGCUUAAAUGGGAAUUGAUCGGUUUAGAAAUAGACCUUCCUUCGGGCAAUUUUCAAGGUGCUGCAUGGUUGUCGUCAGCUCGUGCCGUGAGGUGUUAGGUUAAGUCCUGCAACGAGCGCAACCCCUGUCACUAGUUGCCAUCAUUAAGUUGGGGACUCUAGUGAGACUGCCUACGCAAGUAGAGAGGAAGGUGGGGAUGACGUCAAAUCAUCACGGCCCUUACGCCUUGGGCCACACACGUAAUACAAUGGCCGGUACAGAGGGCAGCUACACAGCGAUGUGAUGCAAAUCUCGAAAGCCGGUCUCAGUUCGGAUUGGAGUCUGCAACUCGACUCUAUGAAGCUGGAAUCGCUAGUAAUCGCGCAUCAGCCAUGGCGCGGUGAAUACGUUCCCGGGCCUUGUACACACCGCCCGUCAAGCCAUGGAAGUCUGGGGUACCUGAAGUCGGUGACC